rnacentral:lncRNA from 1 species
UGCAGUGUGUGUGCGCGCGCGCGAGGCGAGGAGAGAGGCGCGUGUGCGAGUGAGUGUGCUAGCGGGGGUGCGCGUGUGAGUGUGCGCGUGUGUGUGCGUGCGCGUGGCACCGGCGCCCGCGGCUACGGGGCUGGCGCUGCCGGAGCCGGGCCGGACCGGGGUCCGAGAUCUGCGUCGCGCUGGGCACGCUGGCCACCCGGUCCGGAAUGAGUCGGGGCUCCGGGAGGUGCCCGUGGGCAGAGCGUUAGGGGCGCGGCCGUGCCGGACCCGCCCUGGGGACCCGCUGGAGCUGGAGGAGGAACUAACUAGCCAGCUUCCGUUCCUCAGCCUUUCUUCUCUAAACACCAAGUUCCACCAUUGACAGAACACUGAGUCCUGCACAGUCACAUGGACACGAGUAAGGAGAGUUCAGAGGCUGCAGUGGAGUUCCACACGAAGCACAGGAGGUGAAACCCCUUUUUCCUGGCUCCUCAGGAGACAUGUGAAGACAACGCGAUUAGAGGUCCUUCAGGCACGGAUAGGAAUGCCUCCAAGUCUGAUUUUCAUAAAAUGAAUUCAGGAAGCCAAAUCUGUCUUUAUCCUAUGUUAUUAUGUGAGAGAAUUUUCCAUGACCUCGAAGGGAGAACACACGUUUUGAUGGCUUGGCAUCUUCUUCCGAGCAAGCGCAGCUCUCAGGCCGGGCCUGAGCCUGCAGCCUGUGUGCCCUCCAUCAUCAGGGCCCCCUCUCAGGACAGGCUACACCGAGGGUGGGACGGCGGACUUCCAGGGACACUUCCAAGUCGUGCCCAUGCAGAUACCUCAGUAUACACUGCCCACAGUUAAGAAACCACGACCUGAGACAUUGUUUUGAAGAGGUGAAAAUGCCUCCACUCAAGUGGCCCAGGAGCGUGAUCCAGGAAGACGAACACACAGAACCAUCUUCUGCAUGGUUUGAAAAUUCAGUGGAAACUAGGACUCCAAGCUGCUGUCCCCUCUCUGCCGCAUCUGAGGCUGGGAAAACUUCCUAGGAGAAGGCAAGAGAAAGCCACCAGACCAGAGCCGAGGACUAAACUUUAAGGUCGAAGACGGCAGAGGGGCAGGUUCUCCCCUGCACACCCCAAGGCCUCUCCUGCACCCGCGAGGCCUUCCUUGAGCGCCCAGGCCCCCGAAAUGCCUGCCCUCCUUCUGACAAAAGGAGGGGGUAGGAUGUGAAGGGGUAGUGCAACCAACAAUGUUUUUGUAAACACAACAACAGGGAAAUACAUGGAGGAAAUCU